GAAAGUAAGCAAGGGCAGACGGUGGAUGCCUUGGCUCUCGGAGGCGACGAAGGACGUGAUAAGCUGCGAAAAGCCCGGGGGAGGCGCAAAUAGCCCUUGAUCCCGGGAUAUCCGAAUGGGGCAACCCGGCAGGCUGAAGGCCUGCCAUCCCGUAAGGGAGGCGAACGUGGGGAACUGAAACAUCUAAGUACCCAUAGGAGGAGAAAAUAAACAAUGAUUCCGUAAGUAGUGGCGAGCGAACACGGAAGAGCCCAAACCCGUGGCGUCUAGGCGACACGGGGGUUGUAGGACCACGACGUGGCAAGAUAGAGUCAAGUGGAACGCCUUGGAAAAGGCGACCGUAGAGGGUGAUAGUCCCGUACACGACUGACGAUUGAAGCCUAGUGGCAUCCUGAGUAGCGCGGGGCACGAGAAAUCUUGCGUGAAACUGCGGGGCCCAUCCCGUAAGGCUAAAUACUCCCGAGAGACCGAUAGCGAACCAGUACCGUGAGGGAAAGGUGAAAAGAACCCCGAGCAGGGGAGUGAAAUAGACCCUGAACCCGUCUGCCUACAAGCGGUCGGAGCAUCGUCAAGAUGUGACGGCGUGCCUUUUGCAUAAUGAACCUACGAGUUACCUUCCCCGGCAAGGUUAAGUACCUAAGGUACGGAGCCGAAGCGAAAGCGAGUCUGAAGAGGGCGGCCAGUCGGGGGGGGUAGACGCGAAACCGAGUGAUCUACCCUUGGCCAGGUUGAAGGUUGGGUAACACCAACUGGAGGACCGGAUGGGUAAGCGUUGAAAAGCUUUCCAAUGAGCUGAGGGUAGGGGUGAAAGGCUAAUCAAACUCGGAGAUAGCUCGUACUCCCCGAAAUGCAUUUAGGUGCAGCCUCUUUAUAGUAUAUCGUGAGGUAGAGCGACUGAUUGGAUGCGAGGGCUUCACCGCCUAUCAAGUCCAGAUAAACUCCGAAUGCGCGAUAUAUAUUUACAGGGAGUGAGGGCGCGGGUGCUAAGGUCCGUGUCCGAGAGGAGAAGAAUCCAGACCACCGGCUAAGGCCCCCAAAUGAUCGUUGAGUUGAACUAACGAGGUCGGAUCGCAGAGACAGCUAGGAUGUUGGCUUGGAAGCAGCCAUUCAUUUAAAGAGUGCGUAACAGCUCACUAGUCGAGCGAUCUGGCGUGGAUAAUAAUCGGGCAUAAACGAUCUGCCGAAGCCGUGGAUGUCGCAAGACAUGGUAGGGGAGCAUUCCAUGCGGCGUCGAAGAUGAGGGAUGACCCUUGUUGGAGCGCAUGGAAAAGCAAAUGUAGGUAUGAGUAACGAUAAGGGGGGCGAGAAACCCCCCCGCCGAAAGACCAAGGUUUCCUGAUCAACGCUAAUCGGAUCAGGGUGAGUCGGGACCUAAGGCUAAGCCGAACGGCGACGCCGAUGGAAGAAUGGGUUAAUAUUCCCAUACUGCCUCAUGGAGUGACGUGGAGACGGAGAAGUGACAGUCCUGCCGGCUGACGGAAUAGCCGGUUGAAGGGUGUAGAUAUUGAUUCCCGUAGGCAAAUCCGCGGGGAGAGUCGAACCUGACAGUAUACGGAGCGCUUGCGCAACGUAAUAUGGACGUAACCAUGCUCCCAAGAAAAUCCGCUAAACUUAUCCAUGCGGCACCCGUACCGUAAACGGACACACGUGGUCGGGUUGAGAAUACUGAGGCGCUCGAGUGACUCACGGUUAAGGAACUAGGCAAAUUGACCCUGUAACUUCGGGAUAAAGGGUCCUCGUCGUAAGGCGAGGCGCAGAGAAUAGGUCCAGGCAACUGUUUAACAAAAACACAUGGCUGUGCUAAAUGGAAACAUGAUGUAUACAGCCUGACACCUGCCCGGUGCUGGAAGGUUAAGAGGAGAUGUCAUCGCGAGAGAAGCGUUGAAUUGAAGCCCCAGUAAACGGCGGCCGUAACUAUAACGGUCCUAAGGUAGCGAAAUUCCUUGUCG
rnacentral:rRNA from 1 species